rnacentral:lncRNA from 1 species
AGAGUCUAUCCCUGAACCUGGACUCGAGUGUUCUUAGCUAGGCUGGAAGCCAGCAAGCCUCAGCUCCUCAUUUGACCCCCUUGGAGCUGGGUUACUGUAUGGACCCGGAUACUGGGUGCUGAAUCCAGAUCUGGUCCUUAAGAUUGUGAAACAAGAACCCUUAAAUGCUCAGCCAUCUCUCCAGCCCUAGUGGGCUGUUUUGUUUGUUUUAUUGUUCUUGGUUUCUUAUACAGGGUCUGUGCUCCGGGGUUGCCUGGAACUAGAGCACCACAUUCAGGCUGAGAGAGGGGUGAGGAUUUUGUUUGGUUUACAGUUUUUUCCUGCACAUGUGUCUAUGCACCAAGCACUUGUCUAGUGACUGAAGAGACCAAAAAAGGGCAUUGGGUCUCGUGUAGCUGAAAUUACAGAUGGUUGUGAGUAUCCCACAUGGGUGCUGGGCAUGGAACCUGGAUCCCCUAGACAAGCAGCCAGGGCUGCUAGUCGCUGCACCAUCUCUCUAGUCUUUGGUUUUUGUUGUUUGUUAACUUCUCUUUAUGUGCCAGUUGUUCUGUGUAUUGUUCUGUCUUUAGUUCUCCACUUUCUUAAUACAAGGUCUCAUAGCCCUUAGGAUCAAAAAGUCAAAGCUGGCCUUAAGUGGGUUUAUAGCCAGGGAUGACUGUAAACAACUUUGUGUUUGUUGUUUUUUUAUGAAAACUUCAUGUUGGACACCUUUAUGCAUUAUGUGUCCCAUUUACACUAAGUCUCCAGUAUACUAGGCAGGUUCUUUUUGUAUCAUUUUAGUAAUUUUUAAAUUAGCAUAUAACUAGACCAUUUUCCCCUUCCCUUCUCUCCCUCCAGCCCUUCCCAUGUACUUCCUCCUUCCAAUUCACUGCUGAAUCUGCCAGUACAGCCUGCUCAGUUUGUGUGACAUCGCUUAUGUGUAUGAUUGCGGGGCUGACCCCUUGGUAUUAUACAGCAAAUUGGGGGGGCUUUCUCCUUGGGAAGAAUAAUUCUCUUGCUCUUACUGUCCCAUAGUUGCUUGGUGUUCUUUGUCUAGGGCUCAAGCCCUAUGAGAUUUCCCCUCCCAUGUUAGCGUGUCUGCUGGGCUCUCCCUUGCUCAGGUCUUGUGUAUGAAGCCAUGUUGGUGAGGCUUAAUGGUGUGGCUGCACUGAUGUUUCUAAGAGAUGAAUCUGAGGGAACUUCCUUUUCCUCUGGUUCUUAGUCAUCCUGCCCCCUUCCCGAGCUGACCCUUCAGCUGGGGCUGCAGAAGCUCUGCUGUCAGUGUCCGCUGGGGCUGGGCACCAGUCAUUUGUUCUCUGCAUUUUGGUCAGUUAUGGUUUUCUGUAAUGAUCUCAGCCCAGCUAGAUCAGGGUGAAGAAUGUUCAGGGUCUGGCUGGGUAGAAAGGCUGGCCUCAAACUCAGAAAUCCACCUGCCUCUAUCUCCCAAGUGCUGGGAUUAAAGGCGUACACCACCAUGCCUGGCAUUCGGGUAUGGUUUUAAAUAAUGAAAAAGCAAAGACUGACCAUAUGAAAGGUCAUAAAAGAUAGAAGUAAGUGACUGGAAGUGAAUUUCCACAUUCACAAAGGUCUAGAUUUGUUCUCUAGUAUCAUACAAACUGGAUGAGGUGGUGAUGCACACCUGUAAUCCAGAACUGAAGAGGCGGGCGUCUGACUCAUCAUCAACUAAAUAACAACUUAAAGGGUAGCCUGGGCUUCGUGACGUGCCCUCCAAGAAAAUAAAUAAGUAAAAGUGAAAGGUAACAACCAUAAGACGGUCUGACGGGAUAGAAGAUAAGAGGGAUUUUUUAAAUCCAUGCAUUGAUACCUUAAGGAAGGAACGUAGCUUGAAUAGCAAGGGAUCAGCCAGACAAAAUGUGGCCCAGUAGGAGCCUGGGAGGACUCUAGAUACAGGAAGAUGGGGGGAGGUGGCUGUGAUUGUGAAGGCCUGUUGUCCCUGUACUAGGGAAGCAGAUCAGUUCUAGGUCAUCUUUAGCUUUGUUGUGAGUUCAAAGCCAUCCUGGACAACAUAAGACCCAGUUUC